CAGAGUUAUCCAACUCCCAAACCCAUGUGAACUUAUCUCUUUGUUGCCUCGGCGCAAGCUACCCGGGACCUCGCGCCCCGGGCGGCCCGCCGGCGGACAGACCAAAACUCUUGUUAUCUUAGUUGAUUAUCUGAGUGUCUUAUUUAAUAAGUCA
rnacentral:misc_RNA from 1 species